rnacentral:rRNA from 1 species
UAUGUAGGGGGCAAGCGUUGUCCGGAAUCAUUGGGCGUAAAGCGCGUGUAGGCGGUUCGGUAAGUCGGCUGUGAAAGUCCAGGGCUCAACCCUGGGAUGCCGGUCGAUACUGCCGGACUAGAGUUCGGAAGAGGCGAGUGGAAUUCCCGUGUGUGAGCGGUGAAAUGCGCAGAUAUCGAGGAGACACAUGGCGAAGGCAGCUCGCUGGGACGGUACUGACGCUGAGGCGCGAAGAACGUGGGGAGCAAACAGG